GAAAGCCUAGAUCUUAUCUAGUACGGUACACGAUGGGUCCGCGUCUGAUUAGGUAGUUGGCGGGGUAACGGCCCACCAAGCCCACGAUCAGUAGCCGGCCUGAGAGGGCGGACGGCCACACUGGGACUGAGACACGGCCCAGACUCCUGCGGGAGGCAGCAGUGGGGAAUAUUGCACAAUGGGGGGAACCCUGAUGCAGCGACGCCGCGUGAAGGAAGAAGUAUCUCGGUAUGUAAACUUCUAUCAGCAGGGAAGAAAGAGGACGGUACCUGACUAAGAAGCCCCGGCUAACUACGUGCCAGCAGCCGCGGUAAUACGUAGGGGGCGAGCGUUAUCCGGAUUUACUGGGUGUAAAGGGAGCGUAGACGGCCAUGCAAGCUCGGUGUGAAAGGUGCGGGCACAACCCGCAGACUGCACUGAGAACUGUAUGGCUGGAGUGCCGGAGGGGCAGGCGGAAUUCCUGGUGUAGCGGUGAAAUGCGUAGAUAUCAGGAGGAACACCGGUGGCGAAGGCGGCCUGCUGGACGGCGACUGACGUUGAGGCUCGAAAGCGUGGGGAGCGAACAGGAUUAGAUACCCUGGUAGUCCACGCCGUAAACGAUGUAUACCAGGUGUCGGGCAUCAAGGAUGGCCG
rnacentral:rRNA from 1 species